CGGGCGCGGUGGCGGUCUAAGUCCCUUGGAACGGGGCGUCAAAGAGGGUGAGAAUCCCGUAUGUGACCGGUGGCCUCGCCCAUGUGAAACUCCUUCGACGAGUCGAGUUGUUUGGGAAUGCAGCUCUAAAUGGGUGGUAAAUUUCAUCUAAAGCUAAAUAUUGGCCGGAGACCGAUAGCGCACAAGUAGAGUGAUCGAAAGAUGAAAAGCACUUUGGAAAGAGAGUCAAACAGUACGUGAAAUUGUUGAAAGGGAAGCGCUUGCCACCAGACCUGCCCGCGGGCGAUCAGCCGUCCUUCGGGGCGGUGCACGCGCCCGCGAUCAGGCCAGCAUCGGUUCGGGCGGCCGGAUAAAGGCCCAGGGAACGUAGCUUCUUUCGGGGAGUGUUAUAGCCCCGGGUAUCAUGCGGCCCGCCGGGACCGAGGACCGCGCCUCGGCGAGGAUGCUGGCGUAAUGGUGGUCAGCGGCCCGUCUUGAAACACGGACCAAGGAGUCUAACAUCUAUGCGAGUGUUUGGGUGUCAAACCCGGACGCGGAAUGAAAGUGAACGGAGGUGGGACCCCGUACGGGCGCACCAUCGACCGAUCCAGAUGUCUUCGGAUGGAUUUGAGUACGAGCAUAGCUGUUGGGACCCGAAAGAUGGUGAACUAUGCCUGAAUAGGGUGAAGCCAGAGGAAACUCUGGUGGAGGCUCGCAGCGGUUCUGACGUGCAAAUCGAUCGUCAAAUUUGGGUAUAGGGGCGAAAGACUAAUCGAACCAUC
rnacentral:rRNA from 1 species